ACUCCUGCGGGAGGCAGCAGUGGGGAAUAUUGGACAAUGGGCGCAAGCCUGAUCCAGCCAUGCCGCGUGAGUGAUGAAGGCCCUAGGGUUGUAAAGCUCUUUCACCGGUGAAGAUAAUGACGGUAACCGGAGAAGAAGCCCCGGCUAACUUCGUGCCAGCAGCCGCGGUAAUACGAAGGGGGCUAGCGUUGUUCGGAUUUACUGGGCGUAAAGCGCACGUAGGCGGACUAUUAAGUCAGGGGUGAAAUCCCGGGGCUCAACCCCGGAACUGCCUUUGAUACUGGUAGUCUUGAGUUCGAGAGAGGUGAGUGGAAUUCCGAGUGUAGAGGUGAAAUUCGUAGAUAUUCGGAGGAACACCAGUGGCGAAGGCGGCUCACUGGCUCGAUACUGACGCUGAGGUGCGAAAGCGUGGGGAGCAAACAGGAUUAGAAACCCGAGUAGUCCCAUGA
rnacentral:rRNA from 1 species